ensembl:lncRNA
ACGUACGUGUUGUCGUCUCCUCACCUUAACAACCAGACUACCUACGUGUCGUCGUCUCCUCUCACCUUAACAACCAGACUACGUACGUGUUGUCGUCUCCUCUCACCUUAACAACCAGACUACCUACGUGUUGUCGUCUCCUCUCACCUUAACAACCAGACUACCUACGUGUUGUCGUCGUCUCCUCUCACCUUAACAACCAGACUACGUACGUGUUGUCGUCUCCUCUCACCUUAACAACCAGACUACGUACGUGUUGUCGUCUCCUCACCUUAACAACCAGACUACCUACGUGUCGUCGUCUCCUCUCACCUUAACAACCAGACUACGUACGUGUCGUCGUCUCCUCUCACCUUAACAACCAGACUACCUACGUGUUGUCGUCUCCUCACCUUAACAACCAGACUACCUACGUGUCGUCGUCUCCUCUCACCUUAACAACCAGACUACGUACAUGUUGUCGUCGUCUCCUCUCACCUUAACAACCAGACUACGUACGUGAUGUGUCGUCUCCUCUCACCUUAACAACCAGACUACCUACGUGUUGUUGUCUCCUCUCACCAUAACAACCAGACUACGUACGUGUUGUCGUCUCCUCUCACCUUAACAACCAGACUACGUACGUGUUGUCUCCUCUCACCUUAACAACCAGACUACGUACGUGUUGUUGUCUCCUCUCACCUUAACCAGACUACGUACGUGUUGUUGUCUCCUCUCACCUUAACAACCAGACUACGUACGUGUUGUCGUCUCCUCUCACCUUAACAACCAAACCACCCAUUACGUUGCCUUAACCUUGAUAGAUUCUUGCACUACGUUGUAAAUGCCUUGCAUGGCUUAUAUAGGAACCUCGACUGAGAAUGGGUUAUGGAAGGGAAAUAUUCACUCAGUGUGGAUUUAAAAAUAAAACAAAAUAAUACAAAAUAGCUGAGUCUGUUUUAGUACAAACCAGUUCAGAAGUAGUGUGUGUUGCAGGUACACAAAGUAAAAGCAGUGAUCUGAAAUAUCCUCGUCUUCACUCUGGAUACUGUGACCGCUUAGCAACGACUAUCCUAGAAAUUAAGAAUACAGUUUUAACAUAACAGAGUUAUGAACCAAUCAUAGAUGACUAAGCAAUACGUUUUUUUUAUUUUUGUUUUCUUCUUCCUCCUUCCUGAUACCACCAAUUUUUAUUCACAGCUUUAAAAUAACUGUAGUUUUGGGAGAGAAAACAGUUGUAAAUGAUUGCAGUAUGUUAUGCUCAACCUUAGUUGUAAAUUGCACUCCUGUAAAAUGUUAUUGAAAUUGCACUCCAGGUUGUGUAUGAUAAAUGAUGUUUAAAGCCAAUACGUGACCAUGAAUUGUGUCGCUUUGCGUGGAUACAUAGCCAAUAGUGUGUACAGGGGGUGUGUUUGUGUUCUACAACUCUAAAACACUAUAGUGUUGAUAUUAGCCAUAUCCUGCAUGAAAAUAUAUUUAUGAAACUUUUAAAUGAAGAAUAUCGGAAGUCUGAAAGUGCAAUUAAAGCUUCGUUCUUACAGCCGC